rnacentral:lncRNA from 1 species
CGAGUGAAUACUAAAUCCCGAACCCACGCGUUCCCCACCCUUCCUCUUAUCGUUCUAACGGUUUCUGACACGAGAUUACCCUCUCCUCUCACUCGCUCGAAAUUGGAUAUAUCUCACAAUUGGAAGGUUCUGGAGGCGGAUUCGCUGGUUGAGUGUGAGGCAUUGGAUUGAGUUCAUUCAAGCUGAGCCCUACGUUCAUCAAGGGAUCGGUUUUCAAAUAGAGCCCGUUCCGAUUUUGAGAAGGGGAGAACAAAAAAUUUGGAGAAAAAAGUUGAAAGGUUCUUUUAACUUCUGGUUUUCUGAUUUUAAUUUCUUCUUGAAAGAGUUCUUUCAAAGUUUAAGAGAAACAUAUAUACGAAUUUUUAUUUUUUUUAAUCCGUUUUGAGUUUCGAAGAGAUGAAAAAAAUGAAUUGAAGUUCAAGCGUGGUUUUUCUACCGUUGUCAUGCUGAGUUACUGCUGAACCUCGCUAGGAUUUGGAGUGGAAAGUUGUACUGUCGAGUCUAUAAAUAUUAAAGGAAGUUUGAAAUUUCAGGUUCAAUUUCUUUUCUCUUCUACAUCUCUGUUUUAAAGUGUCUUGAACUGUGAGAUUUUGUUCAAUGGUUUUCUGUUCUGCGAUUGAAUUUCUUGCUGGUGAAUUUCUUCUCAAUGAUAUGAUGUGCUUGAGUACGUUCAAUCAGUAAGAGUCGCUUUCGAGUAGUCGUCCUCUAUGCUUUCUAUGCUUUAACUGUUAUUUUGGUGUCGACUUAUCAUUUUAAGUCAAGAUUCCGUCGCUUUCACAUGGACGAUGUGUUCAGUUUUGUGAUGGUUAAGCGAGCAUGAAACUACAACAUUUAUUCUCAUGAUAUUUGUUUUCUAGACUUUAAGUGAUUUGUUUCUUAUGAAAUCUUCCUCAUUUGCUAGAGGCAUCAAACAGAAUCAUUCUCUUACUUGAACAGUUGAUUUUUCAAAGUGUUGUUGGUCAGAAUUUUGGUCAUGUGAUUGUGCUUUCUAGCUCUUCUAGACUCUUAUGCAUAUCGCCUGUUCUAAAAUUUACUUUAGGCGUUCCAACUGUUUUUUUACAGAUUUCUUAUUGUGUCUGCUUUGGUUAUUCUGUUUUGACCCUAACAUUGUGAGCAUGAAGACUGAACUAUUCACGUCGAUCUUUGUUUUUCUCUCAUUGUAAGGGUGUUUUCUGUCUAAUUUGUAGCGAUUAGGUGCAAGUAAUUGAUAUAGGGUGGAGACCCUUAGACUUCAGGUGUAAACGGAAUAUCUAGUUCAUGGGGAUCCUUUGAGAUCAUAAGGCUGAAUCUGUCCUACUCUCUGGCUCUUUUUUGCAUUCGAAUAUAUGAGAACUUUAAGUCAGGAACUUGGUAUCCAUUGAUUGUUUGCCUUACUCCUUGUUUGUUGUGUGCAAGCUAUGAGUAUGUCACUUAUUUGAGGAUCCAUUCCAGUCAUUUGUAUGCUCAUUCUGUUGUACUCAGUAUGAGCCAUAAGGUUCAGGGUCGAGUUAAUGGUUCAGGGAACCAUCAACUGUAUUGGGAAUGUGUAAUUGGCCAGAAUGUCCUUUACUGUUAACUAUGAUGCUUCUGCUUGAAAAUUCAGCUCAUAGUUGGUCGAUUUUUUUGUUAAGGCUGACUUCAAUUCGAUUUGUUCAAACGUCUUAAUGGUAAUUAGUUCAUUGGAGGUUUUCUUUAUAUUGAUUAUACACUGACACCUAUGCUGGAUUCUUUGUGAUUUAGUUGCUGAGUUCCAUGUCUUAUGUUAAGUUGAGUGAGUUUUUGUACCAUGGAGACCUGAUUCUCACUAGAUUCAAAAUUCUAUGUCCAGUUGGUGAUUUUCAAGUUGACCAGUUUCUCUGUUGAACGCUUCGUGCUUCAUUCCGUCUGAUAGUUUAGUGUUAUUGAUGUGAGUAGAACUAGAUAUAAAACUGCUGAAAUCGUGCUCAUCCAUCUUUGUUGUAAGUGUUGGAGCCAAAAGGAUGUUUUUUAAAGAGUUAAAAGAAAGAAACCACGCAUAAUCAACUACUUAUUUUUACGUAAUUUGGCAUUCCCUGGUACAACAUUGUCCCUUAUAUAUCUUUAGUAAGGCAUCAUAUUUAUUUCAAUAAGUGGAUGCAUUUGCUACUUACUGUGAAAUGUGAAUCCUUGGGUCAGUAUACCAAUAUACUUUAAAUAAAGAGCAUUCCUUUCUGGUCGUUGUAUUGUUAUGGUGAGAACAUGCUCCUUGACUAUUUCGGAACAUGCAUUUGGGUAAGACUUUAUCCCAUCCCAUACUUGUACUCUAAUUCCAUGUGCAUAAUGUAUUCAAAAGCUUAUUUGGCCUCAUUGAGAGUGAUGGGUAAAUUGGCCUUUGCUUGAAAGUUAAUGAACAAUCAAUGAAUUAUCUUUGCUAUUCUUUUCUUGGUUGUCCAUUUUAUAUGUUAUGUGGACGAUUGAAUUGAAUUGUUUCUAAUAACUAGCGCACCAAUCCUUAUAUAGAUUAGUAUACAAUUGUGAUUGUGUAUAUGUUCGCGUAACAUGAUCACGAUUCUAAAAAUUAAUUCGGAGUAUGCGUUCGCGAAACUUCGAUCAAACUUUUCUUAAUUAUAAAAUGAGUUUCAUGGGCUAUUAAUUAAUAUUAGUUUAUAUAGCUCGAGGUGUGUCAUUCGCCAUUUAAUCAAGUAUGGCCCUUGUAUUAAUUUUAUAACAUAGAUAUAAAAAUUAUUAAUAUUCGUAGAAAAGCUUGUAGGGCCGUUUAAAUUACAAUUUUGAUUGUGUAUACGUUCGCGUAGCACAAUUAUGAUUUUAAAAACAAAACCGGAAUAUGCGUUCGCGCAACUUUGGCCAAACUCUCUUCACAAUAAUAAAGCAUUAUUAAUUAUGGACACGACGAUUUUGAUGCACCAAACAAAUGGGUAUACAUACGCGUAAUCCGUUUCAAGAUAGUUUUCUUAAAUAAAAAGCGGCAAAAAUCAAUAGCACAUAGGUUCUAAAAUAAGUAAUUAAACAAUUUAAUAAGCCAAGUAUAAUCAAAGCGACCGUGCUAGAACCAUGAAACCGGGAGUACUUAACACCUUUUUCCGGGUUAACAGAAUUUCUUACCCGAAUUUCUGUGUUUGCGGACUGUAAUAUAGAGUCAACUUUUUCUUGACUCGGGAUUUGAACCGGUGACUUGGGACACCAUAAAUUAUUCCAAGUGGCGACUCUGAAUCUAAACAAAUAAAUAAAUCUCGUUUCGACUGUCACUUUUAAUUGGAAAAAACUCCCUUAUUAUAUCCUCCCGUAAGGUGUUGCGUAAAAAGGAUGUGUGACACUUUGCUGGCUCCAAUAUAAUAUACUUGAGACUGGAAUACCGAUGCUCCAAACUCUAGUAUAUUAUGUUAGACCGGUAUACUUGUUGAAACUCCAGUAUAUUAUGUCGGAGUUUAAGUGUACUUGUGCUGGAACUCCAUCAUAUUAUGCUGGAGUUCCAACAUACUUAUUCUGGAACUCCAGUAUAAUAUGCUGGAGUUCAAGUAUACUUAUAUUGGAACUCCAGCAUAAUAUACUGACAUAUUUUCUGGGUUUUGAACGCUCAGAUUUAUCUUUACAUGAAAAAUGUCUAGAUUUUGAUUUCUUUUGAAACUAGAUUAUUUUUGAACGACCAGUUGUAAAUCUGACUAUUUUGAAUUUCUUCCAAAUUCACACGGUACCAGUACUAUUAAAGAAUACUAAUCAUGUAAAGUUAUAGCUUAAUUUAUCGAGCAAAUAAGAGAUACUAUUGCUUUAAUAGAAAAAUAUUAAUCAUGUCGAAUUAUAAUCUGUUUGAGCAAAUUAGGGAUAUUGUUGUUCUAAUUCGAGAAUAUCUUCUUUAUCAUUUCACUAUACGUACUAAUAUAGUCAAUAUAACACUACAGGAAGCAGAUCAAAUAGUCGCUGAAUAAUUUCUGUUCUUUAUUUUUCUUCACUAAGUUAUCUACUAAUAAAGCAACAAUCUUCACGAAUUAGAGGUACUAGUGUUCCUAUUUCACCUUAUUUUGUGUCCAUAUUUGCUAUUGAGCUUGAAUUUGAUUGUUAUAAGAAGACAAGGAAAGAGACGAAAUUUGCAGUCAUAGCGACUAAGAUGGCAGCAUUUGAACGAUUAUAUGAGGAUCUUGGAGGCAAAGGAGGUGCCAGGAAGCUGUACAAGUUAGUCAAGAUUAAGGAAAGGAAGGCUCGAAACCUAGGCCAAAUGAGGUACAUCAAAGACGAAGAUGGUAAGCUACUAGUGGAAGAAGUAUGUAUCACAUGUAGAUAACAGAAGUACUUCCAUAAACUUUUGAAAAGGAAUAAGAAAGGAACAUCGUGUUGGAUGAGUUGGAGAACUUAAAGAAUCAGAGAGAUUUUGGAUUUUGUAGGCGUAUUAAGAGUGAGAAGUUUGAGGGGGCAAAGCAAAAGAUGAGCAGGGGUAAGGUGAUUGUGUCUGACGAGAUCACAGUGGAAUUUGGAAAGAAAGCUGAUCGGGCAGACUUGGAGUGCCUUACUGGUUUGCUUAAUUUCAUUUUCAGGAUGAAAAAGAUGCAUGAAGAUUGGCAAUAUAGUUUCAUGAGUCACACUAUGAAAUUUUGGGAGAGAGUGGUGGUGAAUAGGGUAAGGAGAAGUAUAUCUAUUUCUGAGAAUCAGUGCGGAUUUAUGUCGGGGUGGUCAAUUAUAGAAUCCAUUCACCUUAUGGGUAGAUUGGUGGAAUAGUAUAGGGAGAGGAAAAAGGACUUGCAUGUUCAUUCACCUAAAGAAAGCAUUUGAUAAAGUUCCGAGGGAGGUCUUAUGGAGAUGUUUAGAGGUUAAUGGUGUCCCGAUAACAUAAGAUGAUUAAGGACAUAUAUGAGGGAGCUAAGACUCAGGUGAGGACUGCGAGAGGAGACUCAAAAUAUUUCUAAGUGGAGAUGGGGUUGCAUUGGGUCAACUAUUAGCCCGUCUUUAUUUGCCUUAGCAUUGGAUGUGCUGAUACGACACAUACAAGGAGAGGUGCCAUGUGUAUGCUAUUUACUGAUAACAUAGUACUGAUUGACAAGACGCGAGAUGAAGUUAACGCUAGGUAGAAGUUUGGAGACAGACGCUAGAAUAAGUUGAGUCAGUCAAAAAAUAAAGUACUUGGAGUGCAAGGUCAGUGAUGGGAUACAUGAAGUAGAAGUGAAGUAAAUAUUGAUACUCAAUUCAUCCCCAAAAGAUACAGUUUCAUGUAUCUUGGGUGUAUAAUCCAAGACAACGGGGAGAUUGAUAAGGAUGUUACUCAUCGUAUUGGAAUGGGGUGGAUGAAAUAGAGUCUCGUUUCGAGGGUUUUAUAUGGUAAGAAUGUGAUAUCCAAACUUAAGGGUAAGUUCUACAGAGUGAUGGUUUAGACCAAUUAUGUUAUAUGGAACUGAGUGUUGGCCCGGCAAAAAGUCUCAGGAGAAUGUCGACAUGGAUGUGUGUACAUACUGGGAAACACAAGAUUAAGAAUGAAAUUAUUAGGGACAAUGUGGGUGUGACCUCUAUGGAGGACAAGUUAUGGGAAUUGAGGCUGAGAUUGUUUGCGUAUGUGAAAAUGAGAGACAUAGAUGCACCGGUUAUAAGGUAUAAGAGGUUGGUCAUAUUGGUCUGAGAAAGGAUAUGGAUACGGCAAAUAAGUAUCGAAGAUAGUUGGUUAGGAAGGAUAUGUCAUUGCUUCAGCUUACCGAGGACAUGACCUAGGGUAGAAAAGAGUGGAGGUCAAGGAUUAGGGUUGAAUAUUGACAGGUAGCCGUGAGCUAGGAGUAGGCUUACCAGUAAUACUAGUACUAUUUUUGUAUUUUCUUAUUCCUGGUUAUUAAUUAUUAUAUAUUAUGUCAUUCGUUUCUGUUACCCUAUUAUAUGUUGUUACUAUUAUUUAUUGUUUUAUUUUUAUUGUCCUUGGAUCGCUGGUCUAUCGGAAAUAACCUCUCUACCUUUAUAAGGUUGGAGUAAGGUAUACGUACACAUUACCCUUCCCAGACCCCACUAAUGAGAUUAUAUUAUCUUUAUUAUUAUUGUUGUUGUUGUUAUUGAACUUGAAUUUAAAACCUCUGAAUAUUUCUCAUGCGAUCAGAAUUAAUAGAUACACAAUUUAAGGUGUAUAUCAUGUUAGUUGAAAGAAGAUAUUAUUAAAGUAAAUGAUAUAUAAUUUGAAUAACUAGGUGAAUUUGAAUCAUAAAAAAUUGUACAAGAUAGAUAAUAUUGUUACUACAUAUAACAACCCGGCCAGUUGCUUGAGAAUUAAUGUCCCUAUCCCAUAUUUAUUGCUUCCCCCCGAGUCUAUUUCUGCUAUUGUGAAUUGUUGGGAUGGUUAAUCUUGAGUUUCUGAGUGUGUUGGGACACUUAGUCCCUAAAUGAGAUUUUAAGUCUUAGAAUGUGGACCGUAGUCGUAUCAUUGCAAAGACAACUCCAAAAUGGAAUUCCGUCAAUUCUAUUAGCUCUGUUGGGUAGUUUCAAGUUUAGGAGCAUGUUUAGAUUGUAUUUUGGAGGUCCGUAGCUUAUUUAGGAUUGAAAUGCCGAAAGUUUAAUUUUUGGAGUUUUCGGGGCAAUAGUGAAAUUUUGAUAUCGAGGUCGGAAUCCGAUUCCGGGAGUUGGAAUAGGUCUGUAGUGUUAAAUAUGACUUGUGUGAAAAAUUGAGGUCAUUUGGACAAGGUUUGAUAGGUUUCGCAUCGGUUGUGAAAGUUUGAGGUUUCAAGUCCAUUAAGCUCGAAUUGGUGUGUGAUUCAUAUUUUUGUUAUUGUUUGAGGUGAUUCGAGAGCUCGAUUGAGUUGGCAUGGUAUCUUAGGACUUUAUGGCACAUUUACUUGAGGUUUCGGAGGCCCAAGGUGAGUUUUUGGGUGAGUUUUGAGCGAGUUCGGGCAUUACCAGAAUUGAGGCAUGGUUCUUGUGCUUAAAUCUUCACUAAGGAUGAAGGAACUUCCGCUGAGGGCGGAAUUUGGGGCAUUGAGGCGCUCCAGGGAAGAAUCUUCAUGUUCGUUAGUCCGAUUUUGGAAGCCUAUAUCUUUUGAUCUACAAGAAAUUUUGAGAUGAUUCAAUGACUAACGUUGUAGUCCUUCGUGUCUAGUUUUCAUAAAGGUAAAGAAAUCAUCAUUUAACAUGUGUAGAGAAAUUUAUGGAAAAAAUACUAAGGCAUGUUUGUGCAGCCACCAAAAGCACAGUCAGCGGAGGAAUUACGUGGUCAGCGGUGGAAGUCUGCUUAAGUAGUGAAUUUUGGCUGACAGCGGAAAUGGGAAUCCGAGAGGUGCACAAUAAAUAUAUAAUUUAGGGUUUUAUUUCAUAUUUUGACCUAGAGAGCUCAUGACUUGGCCAUUUUUAAAGGUUUUUUAAUAAAUUCAUCGGGGUAAGUAAUUCUAACUCAGUUUUGGCUAAAAUGCAAGAAUAUAACAUUCGAUUCAUCAUUUAGUUUUGAAUUUGGGUUAAAAAAAUUGGGGAAAAUUGAGAAAAGUUCUUAGUCCAAAUUUUUGGAGUUUGAUCGUUAUUUUAGUAUUGGAUUUGAGUGAAUUUGAUAUGGUUAGACUCGUGAAUGAAUGGUUGUUCAUAAUUUGUGACUUUUACCCGAUUCUGAGACGUGGGCCUGAGGAGGAUUUUUGGGCGUUCUUGUAUUUUCUUGCCUUAGCUUAGAUUUCUUUAGCUAAAUUAGUUUUUUGUUGUAGUAUUUACGUUAUAAUAUUGAUAUGGUUAGAUUUUUUCCUCUCGUAUUUGGAUACUCAUGGAAAGAGCGUGAUUUUAGAUUGAUUUUGAGGUGGUUCGAGGUAAGUGGCUUGCCUAACCUUGUGUGGGGGAACUCCCCUUAGGAUUUUGGUACUUUUAUUAUAUGAGUAUCGUGUACGUGAGGUGACGAGUGCGUACACGUGAUAAUUGUUGAAAAAUCCCACUAUUUAAGUAAAUAUCUGUGUCUUCCUUUAAUUAAGCAAUACUUGUAUUUGAAGUUUCUUGUUUAGCUCAGGAAAGCAUGACUAUGUGACUUAACUAUUGUGUCUGCUUUAACUGCUUAUUUGGAUUCCGUGCAGCAUGUUUAGAAUAGAAAGUCCUGUUUAUUCUCGAAUAGAAUUGUAGAUUUCUUUCUUGAGACUUUUGUAUGUUUACUUUGGGACUACGAAUUCGGUAUUUCGGGAGAUCCCCCUGCACUUUAUAACUAGGACUACGGGAUGAUAUCCCAGGAGAUUCCCCUGUACUAGGUAUUUACUUUGGGACUAUGGAUCGGUAUUCUGGGAGAUUCCCCUGCAUAUUUAUGAUUCGGACUAUGGGACGAUAUCCCGGGAUAUCCUAUGCACAUUUACGUUUGGGACCACGGGAUGAUAUCCUGGGAGAUCCCUUAUUGUUAUCUCUAUAUUCUAAGUUGUUUCUUUUUGUGACUUCCUUCUUUAUCAACUGUUAGUAUCUUGAUUAUACUGUCGCAUUUUUUACUGAUUUAUCUUGUUAUCUAUAUAUAUAUAUAUAUAUAUAUAUAUAUACACACAUAUAUAAACUAGUAGGGCCCAUGACCUUCCUCGUCGCUACUCGACCGAGGCUAGGCGUGGCACUUACUGGGUACCGUUGUGGUGUACUCAUGCCCUUCCCUGCACAUGUUUUUUGUGUGCAGAUUUUGGUUCUUCUGCUCAACCAUACCAUCAAUGAGGUGAGGUGAUUUUCAGAGACUUCAAGGUAUAUCUUCCGUGUCUGCAGACCGAGAAGUCCCUCUCUAUUCUCCCUUUAGCUAUAUAUAUAUUUUGUAAUUAUUUUUGUUUAGACUUCUGGAGUUAGAACACUAUGUACUUUCUCUAAUUUAUGCUUCAUGAGAUUUCGGGUUUUGGGAGUUUU